rnacentral:tRNA from 1 species
CCGUGGCUCAGUCGGUAGAGCGAUUGAUUCGUAAUCAAUAGGUCAGGGGUUCAAGUCCCCUCG